UUGGAGGGCAAGUCUGGUGCCAGCAGCCGCGGUAAUUCCAGCUCCAAUAGCGUAUAUUAAAGUUGUUGCAGUUAAAAAGCUCGUAGUUGAAUCUCGGGGUUAGUAGGUUGGUCAUGCCUCUGGUAUGUACUGGUCUCACUGAUUCCUCCUUCCUGAUGAAUCUUAAUGCCAUUAAUUUGGUGUUUUGGGGAAUUUGGACUGUUACUUUGAAAAAAUUAGAGUGUUUAAAGCAAGCUAACGCUUGAAUACAUUAGCAUGGAAUAAUGAAAUAGGACGUUCGAUCCUAUUUUGUUGGUUUCUAGGAUUGACGUAAUGAUUAAUAGGGAUAGUUGGGGGCAUUAGUAUUCAAUUGUCAGAGGUGAAAUUCUUGGAUUUAUUGGAGACUAACUACUGCGAAAGCAUUUGCCAAGGAUGUUUUCAUUAAUCAAGAACGAAAGUUAGGGGAUCGAAGACGAUCAGAUACCGUCGUAGUCUUAACCAUAAAUUAUGCCGACUAGGGAUCGGAUGAUGUUAAUUUUUUAAUGACUCAUUCGGCGCCUUACGGGAAACCAAAGUGUUUGGGUUC
rnacentral:rRNA from 1 species